rnacentral:rRNA from 1 species
UACGGAGGGUGCGAGCGUUGUCCGGAAUUAUUGGGCGUAAAGAGCUUGUAGGCGGUUUGUUGCGUCUGCUGUGAAAAUCCGGGGCUCAACCCCGGACUUGCAGUGGGUACGGGCAGACUAGAGUGUGGUAGGGGAGACUGGAAUUCCUGGUGUAGCGGUGAAAUGCGCAGAUAUCAGGAGGAACACCGAUGGCGAAGGCAGGUCUCUGGGCCACUACUGACGCUGAGAAGCGAAAGCAUGGGGAGCGAACAGG